rnacentral:rRNA from 1 species
UACGUAGGGUGCGAGCGUUAAUCGGAAUUACUGGGCGUAAAGCGUGCGCAGGCGGUUAUGCAAGACAGAUGUGAAAUCCCCGGGCUCAACCUGGGACUGCAUUUGUGACUGCAUGGCUGGAGUGCGGCAGAGGGGAUGGAAUUCCGCGUGUAGCAGUGAAAUGCGUAGAUAUGCGGAGGAACACCGAUGGCGAAGGCAAUCCCCUGGGCCUGCACUGACGCUCAUGCACGAAAGCGUGGGGAGCAAACAGG